rnacentral:rRNA from 1 species
AUUGAACGCCGGCGGCAGGCCUAACACAUGCAGGUCGAGCGGAUGAAGGGAGCUUGCUCCUGGAUUCAGCGGCGGACGGGUGAGUAAUGCCUAGGAAUCUGCCUGGUAGUGGGGGAUAACGUCCGGAAACGGGCGCUAAUACCGCAUACGUCCUGAGGGAGAAAGUGGGGGAUCUUCGGACCUCACGCUAUCAGAUGAGCCUAGGUCGGAUUAGCUAGUUGGUGGGGUAAAGGCCUACCAAGGCGACGAUCCGUAACUGGUCUGAGGGGAUGAUCAGUCACACUGGAACUGAGACACGGUCCAGACUCCUACGGGAGGCAGCAGUGGGGAAUAUUGGACAAUGGGCGAAAGCCUGAUCCAGCCAUGCCGCGUGUGUGAAGAAGGUCUUCGGAUUGUAAAGCACUUUAAGUUGGGAGGAAGGGCAGUAAGUUAAUACCUUGCUGUUUUGACGUUACCAACAGAAUAAGCACCGGCUAACUUCGUG